rnacentral:rRNA from 1 species
GACGAACGCUGGCGGCGUGCUUAACACAUGCAAGUCGAACGAAGUGGCGAACGGGUGAGUAACGCGUAAACAACCUGUACUUCAGAGGGGGACAACAGUUGGAAACGACUGCUAAUACCGCAUAAUGACGGAGGGGAUUGCGUCUGAUUCGCUAGUUGGAGGGGUAACGGCCCAACAAGGCGAUGAGCAGUAGCCGGGCUGGGAGGCUGAACGGCCACAUUGGGACUGGGACACGGCCCAGACUCCUACGGGAGGCAGCAGUGGGGAAUCUUCCGCAAUGGACGAAAGUCUGACGGAGCAACGCCGCGUGAGUGAUGACGGCCUUCGGGUUGUAAAGCUCUGUUAAUCGGGACGCGGUACCGGAAUAGAAAGCCACGGCUAACUACGUGCCAGCAGCCGCGGUAAUAC